UACGUAGGUGGCGAGCGUUAUCCGGAAUUAUUGGGCGUAAAGGGUGCGUAGGCGGCCAUGUAAGUUUAAGGUCAAAUUGCGGGGCUCAACCCCGUCCUGCCUUAGAUACUGCACGGCUAGAGUACUGGAGAGGGAAGUGGAAUUCCAUGUGUAGCGGUAAAAUGCGUAGAUAUAUGGAGGAACACCGGAGGCGAAGGCGGCUUCCUGGACAGAGACUGACGCUCAGGCACGAAAGCGUGGGGAGCAAAUA
rnacentral:rRNA from 1 species